AGAUUCUUUCCGUUCUCAACAUGGCUUGCAAGAGCUUGAGAGAGCGUGUGGAGUUAGUUUUUGAAAACGAAAAUUUUGAUGAGCUACCUCAAAUUUACGCCGAAUUAAAUAAAAAGUUUAAAUGUAAUUCUGUUUUGCCAUCUACUGACGUGUUGCAAAAACAACUUACUUUUGGUUUUAUCCAAAGAAAUUGCCAUGCAGAAUACUACCUUCCUGCCUAUGUGAAAGCAAAGAAGGAUGGUUGCGCAAUUACGUUGAAGUCUCAGGUCAAUGGAAAUUGCCUGUACAGUUCUAUGGCGUUGUGUUUGUUUGGGAAAAAUGUGAUGGUUGACGACUUACGAAUUCUUGUGUCAGUGGAGCUAAUGAUGAAUGCUAGCUUUUACUGUAAGCAUCCUCUAUUUUCUUCUAUCCUUGCUCUUCCAGAAAGUCUCUUUAAAUCUAUGGAAGAUAUUCUCAAUAUGUCUGUCUGCAAUUCUGCAUUUAACACAGACAAAAAACAAGAAGACUUAGUUAAGGAGGUAACCAUUUUAAAUUUAGUAGAUCGGAAAGCUUAAGGAUGUUUGUCGCACAAGGUGGAUUGAACGUGUUGAAGGUAUGGAUACAUUCCAAGAACUUUAUGUCCCUCUUGUUUUCACUCUUGAGGAGAUGUUUGUUCAAAGGCAAUGCAAUAUUGACACAUCAUCAAAAGCCUUGUCCUUAUAUAAAUUAAUUACAAGUUUUGAUUUUAUUAUUACAAUGGUAAUUACUCGGUCUGUAUUUGAUAUAACACUGCCAGUAACACGAAUGCUUCAGAGCAAAUCCAACGAUAUUUUUGAGGGACUUCAUAUGAUUGAUGCUCUUAAAAGUGCAGCCAUGGCUACACGAAAUGCAGUUGAUGCCUACCAUUAAAUGUGGUAUGAGAAAGCUGUAUUUCUAGCUCAAAAAGUAUGUGUUACUCCUACAAAACCUAGAACUUGUGGACGUCAAAAAAACAGAUCUAACAUUCCUGCUGAAAACAUUUCGGAUUAUUUUAAAAGGACAACAACUAUUCCAAUGUUGGACAAUUUAAAUUCUGAAUUGAAGUUACGUUUUGACAUAUCUACUGUGACUUCUUAUCAGGGCUUGUCAAUUAUUCCAUCUAAGAUGAUGUUUUUAGUUAGUAAACAUGGUCUAUUGGGAUGGAAAGACAAGUUUACAGCUUUUUGUAGCUUUUAUUCUGAUGACAUGCCAAACUUUUUAGCUCUUGAUGCUGAGCUAGAUCUCUGGCAUAAGUACUGGGAGAUGCAGGAUAGUUAUCCUGAUAAUAUUUCAGCCACUCUUUAAGCAAUUCCAUCAUUACAAUUUGACAAUUUGACUGUAGCCUUAAGAAUUCUUGCCACAUUACCAGUGACAUCCUGCGAAUGUGAACGCUCUUUCUCUGCAAUGAGAAGGCUUAAGAACUACAAUCGCAGUACAAUGGUGGCAGAUAGGUUGAAUGGCUUAGCUUUGUUACAUAUACACAAAGAAUUUGUACCAUCCACCUCAUCAGUCAUCAAUAAGUUUGCUGUUAAAAACAGGAGAUUGGAUUUUAAGUAAAAUGUUUAAAUCAAUUAUUUUUCUAUGUAGCCUCAAUAUAUACUCAUAUUGUUUAUAUCUAAAGUUAAAAUUAACAAGUAAUAAAAUAAAUAAUAUUGUUUCUUCCUUUUCUGAAUAAAUAUAUAAAUAUAAAUAAAUUUUAAAAUAAAGUAUAAUUUUUUGUACAAAUCCAUAUCUAAGAAACUACUUUCUGUAAUAAGUUUCAUACUCAUUAUAUUUCUCUCUCUCCUCUCCCCCCCCCCCUCCCCAUUUUUGGUGAUGACAAACCUGAUUGAUUCAAAAUUGUCCCCGGGCUCAGUAGGCUCCGCUGACAGUACCUGGGUCAAGGAGUAACUAAGUCUUUUUUUUCCUUCUAAGCUUUCUCGAAUGCUUAAAUUUUACGUGGUGGUGAUGAAGGUGAUGAUAACGUUAUGAAUCCAAUUACCUUCUUUUUAGUUUUUUUCAUUUACCUUCUUACAGUAGUUAUAUACAGUACAUUUGUUUUUGCGAUGAUGUGACAAAACAGCAAGCUGCAAUGAUAAUACUUAACCCUCUGCAAAUUUUACAAUCAUCAUACGAUGAUGUAACAAAACAGCAAGCUGUAAUGAUAAUACUCAACCCUCUGAAAAUUUUACAAUCAUCAUACGAUGAUGUGACAAAACAGCUAGCUGCAAUGAUAAUUAAUUCCUGUGCGUGCAGUUGACAGAGCCAUUUCUUUACUUCCACUUUAACAAUAACUUCUUUCUAUAAAUAAAUUUUCCUUAUUCCGGGCUCGGCCUGACUCCAGCCGACAGUACCUGGUUUCCGGAGCGGCAUUAUGACUGUCCAUGUCGGGCUUAACGAACUAUAUUUUCAAUCUAUUUUUCGUUUGUCCUAGGCAUGCUGACGAGCCCUGACAUUGGGCGAAACAGUCUAAAAAUGAUUUAUGCUAACGAAAUACAUUUAAGUUGUCAUUCUUUUUCUAUUUGAAGUGUUUAUGCGGAGCUGCGGCGUUUAUGAGAAUGUUUCGUUUCUGUUAUCAAGGUCUAAAACGUCUGCAUACGAGGUUGUUUUUUGUCCCCGUUUAAGCCUAUUUCAGGGUUCGCAAAGCCUGUUUCAGCGAAAGCUUCUGGGGCUCCGCCCCAGACCCCACUUGGGGGGCUUACAGCGCCCUUCAAAACCCCCAGCUGUAUAUCCAAAUUUUCUUAGUAUGUCAUGAUGCUGCGCAUCAUGACCUACAAAGAAAAUUUGCUAGAUCCGCCCCUGGUGACGGUGCGAGUGCGUCCUUAUUCACAACUGCCGUCAUUGAAUGGUGGUUGGAUCAUUUAAGGCGCCAUGUAUGCGACCACUGGAAAAACCAUUACCCAAAAGGAGAUUCAUCCAAUGGGAUAAAAAUAGCUUGACAGGAAAAAGCAACCCGUGCUGCAAUGGAGAAAGAUCCUAUAUGAUCCAAAAAUAUUUAGAUGUUUCCCAAUUAUUUUGCCGAUAUCUGUGGAAAGCUUUGAUGGGACAGGAUUAUUGAACAUUCCGCGAGAAAUCAUCCUUACAGAGGGAGAAAGGUAUACAUGGAUGGGCACUACGCUACACCGUAGAGGAAGCGUAGCUCACUACACUUCAUUGUUGAACAUAGACGGCAAAGUGAAGUUUUACGAUUGCUUGAAGAACGGUCCAAUUACGCCAAAUUGGAAGAGUUUGUUGGAAGAAUUUCAGCCACAACACACACUUUUUGUACUUGAAAUGUAAAAUCCUUGUACAUAUGUUUUAGUUUGAAAAAUACAUCUUUUUACCUUUUGUCUCAUCAAA